rnacentral:tRNA from 1 species
GAAGUCGUAGCUUAAUUUUAGAGCUUUGAGCUUUUAACUCAAUGGUGGGAUUGUCCUCGACUUUA